rnacentral:misc_RNA from 1 species
GUGAAAUAUAAUAGUGUAGUGCAAGGGGCUCUAUUCGUGUCUCUGUGUGUGCGGAGAGUUUCUCAUGCUUGAGCUUGGCCCGAGGCUACGAGGAAGUAGGGGAAGAUCCAAUUCGGAAAAAAAAAUUGGUGUGAACAAGACUAGAAUGGGGUUCGAGUGAAGGAAGGCCUGUUCCGAAAAUUGAUCUUCAGGUGGAUGUGUUCCAAGGCGGUAUACAGGUAUUUCUGAGCCUACAACAUUGUACCCCCGCAUAUACAUGUAUGUACUGCACACCCACAUCGGGAUCUCUUCUUCGCCGAGGCCCGGGGCUUCGACGCUCGAAACGAAAUCGCCUGAUGCAAUUCGCUGCA